GAUGAACGCUGGCGGCGUGCCUAAUACAUGCAAGUCGAGCGAACGGACGAGAAGCUUGCUUCUCUGAUGUUAGCGGCGGACGGGUGAGUAACACGUGGAUAACCUACCUAUAAGACUGGGAUAACUUCGGGAAACCGGAGCUAAUACCGGAUAAUAUUUUGAACCGCAUGGUUCAAAAGUGAAAGACGGUCUUGCUGUCACUUAUAGAUGGAUCCGCGCUGCAUUAGCUAGUUGGUAAGGUAACGGCUUACCAAGGCAACGAUGCAUAGCCGACCUGAGAGGGUGAUCGACCACACUGGAACUGAGACACGGUCCAGACUCCUACGGGAGGCAGCAGUAGGGAAUCUUCCGCAAUGGGCGAAAGCCUGACGGAGCAACGCCGCGUGAGUGAUGAAGGUCUUCGGAUCGUAAAACUCUGUUAUUAGGGAAGAACAUAUGUGUAAGUAACUGUGCACAUCUUGACGGUACCUAAUCAGAAAGCCACGGCUAACUACGUG
rnacentral:rRNA from 1 species